CAAAUGAAUUGACGGGGCCCGCACAAGCGGUGAGCAUGUGGUUAAUUCGAAGCAACGCGAAGAACCUUACCAGGUCUUGACGUCCCGAUGCUAUUUCUAGAGAUAGAAAGUUACUUCGGUACAUCGGUGACAGGUGGUGCAUGGUUGUCGUCAGCUCGUGUCGUGAGAUGUUGGGUUAAGUCCCGCAACGAGCGCAACCCCUAUUGUUAGUUGCCAUCAUUCAGUUGGGCACUCUAGCGAGACUGCCGGUAAUAAACCGGAGGAAGGUGGGGAUGACGUCAAAUCAUCAUGCCCCUUAUGACCUGGGCUACACACGUGCUACAAUGGUUGGUACAACGAGUUACGAGUCGGUGACGGCGAGCUAAUCUCUUAAAGCCAAUCUCAGUUCGGAUUGUAGGCUGCAACUCGCCUACAUGAAGUCGGAAUCGCUAGUAAUCGCGGAUCAGCACGCCGCGGUGAAUACGUUCCCGGGCCUU
rnacentral:rRNA from 1 species